rnacentral:misc_RNA from 1 species
AACGCACAUUGCGCCCCUUGGUAUUCCAUUGGGCAUGCCUGUUCGAGCGUCAUUUAACCCUUCAAGCUAUGCUUGGUGUUGGGCGUUUGUCCGCGAAAUCGUGGACUCGCCCCAAAAACAUUGGCAGCGGUUUGCCAGCCUCUCGCGCAGCACUUUGCGCUCUUGGGGGCUCUGGCGAGCUUGCGUCCAUCAAGAACACCCUUAUUUUGACCUCGAAUCAGGUAGGGAUACCCGCUGAACUUAA